rnacentral:rRNA from 1 species
CUACGGGAGGCUGCAGUGGGGAAUAUUGGACAAUGGGGGCAACCCUGAUCCAGCCAUGCCGCGUGUGUGAAGAAGGCCCUCGGGUUGUAAAGCACUUUCAGUGAGGAAGAACGCCUGGUGGUUAAUACCCAUCAGGAAAGACAUCACUCACAGAAGAAGCACCGGCUAACUCCGUGCCAGCAGCCGCGGUAAUACGGAGGGUGCGAGCGUUAAUCGGAAUUACUGGGCGUAAAGCGCGCGUAGGUGGCUUGAUAAGCCGGUUGUGAAAGCCCCGGGCUCAACCUGGGAACGGCAUCCGGAACUGUCAAGCUAGAGUGCAGGAGAGGAAGGUAGAAUUCCCGGUGUAGCGGUGAAAUGCGUAGAGAUCGGGAGGAAUACCAGUGGCGAAGGCGGCCUUCUGGACUGACACUGACACUGAGGUGCGAAAGCGUGGGUAGCAAACAGGAUUAGAUACCCGAGUAGUC